GACGAACGCUGGCGGCGUGCUUAACACAUGCAAGUCGAACGGAAAGGCCCUGCUUUUGUGGGGUGCUCGAGUGGCGAACGGGUGAGUAACACGUGAGUAACCUGCCCUUGACUUUGGGAUAACUUCAGGAAACUGGGGCUAAUACCGUAUAGGAGCUCCUGCUGCAUGGUGGGGGUUGGAAAUUUUCGGCGGUGUGGGAUGGACUCGCGGCUUAUCAGCUUGUUGGUGGGGUAGUGGCUUACCAAGGCUUUGACGGGUAGCCGGCCUGGGAGGGUGACCGGCCACAUGGGGACUGAGAUACGGCCCAGACUCCUACGGGAGGCAGCAGUGGGGAAUAUUACACAAUGGGAGGAAGCCUGAUGCAGCAACGCCGCGUUCGGGAUGCCGGCCUUCGGGUUGUAAACCGCUUUCGCCUGUGACGAAGCGUGAGUGACGGUAAUGGGUAAAGAAGCACCGGCUAACUACGUG
rnacentral:rRNA from 1 species